rnacentral:rRNA from 1 species
GAUUAACGCUAGCGGCAGGCCUAAAUACAUGCAAGGUCGAACGGGAUUCAAAGUAGCAAUAUUUGAUGAGAGUGGCGCACGGGUGAGUAACACGUAUGCUAAUUUACCUUUAACUGGGGGAUAGCCCUCGAAAGGAGGAUUAAUACCGCAUAAUAUAUUGAAAUGGCAUCAUUUUAAUAUUAAACCUACGGGGGUUAAAGAUGAGCAUGCAUCCGAUUAGCUAGUUGGUGUGGUAACGGCUCACCAAGGCAACGAUCGGUAGGGGGUCUGAGAGGAUGAUCCCCCACACUGGUACUGAGACACGGACCAGACUCCUACGGGAGGCAGCAGUAAGGAAUAUUGGACAAUGGAGGCAACUCUGAUCCAGCCAUGCCGCGUGAAGGAUUAAGGCCCUAUGGGUUGUAAACUUCUUUUAGACGGGACAAAACCCCUUUACGUGUAAAGGGUUGAUGGUACUGUCAGAAUAAGCAUCGGCUAACUUCGUG